CAACAACAACAACAACAACAACAACAACAACACAGGCCACUGGAGGAAAUAAGAACAGAGGACAACAUGGUCAAUACAACAACAACAACAGACCACUGGAGGAAAUAAGAACAGAGGACAACAUGGUCAAUACAACAACAACAACAACAACAACAACAGACCACUGGGGGAAAUAAGAACAGAGGACAACAUGGUCAAUACAACAACAACAACAACAACAACAGGCCACUGGGGUAAAUAAGAACAGAGGACAACAUGGUCAAUACAACAACAACAACAGACUACUGGGGGAAAUAACAACAGAGGACAACAUGGUCAAUACAACAACAACAACAACAGACCACUGGGGGAAAUAAGAACAGAGGACAACAUGGUCAAUACAACAACAACAACAACAACAACAACAGACCACUGGGGGAAAUAAGAACAGAGGACAACAUGGUCAAUACAACAACAACAACAGGCCACUGGGGGAAAUAAGAACAGAGGACAACAACAACAACAACAACAACAACAACAACAACAACAACAGGCCACUGGUGUAAAUAACAACAGAGGACAACAUGGUCAAUACAACAACAACAACAGACCACUACAGAGACGGACAGAGAAGAAGUCAAUAACGGACAGGGUCGUGUUUAGAAGCUCAAUACAGAAGAAAACACAGUGAAACAGGAGGUAGAAAACUAUCUGAACUUGUUCAAUAUCAAAUGACUGUUUAGUUUUGCAACACAUUUCGUUAUGGUGUGUGCUCAAAUGAACACAACCCAGCUUCAAUAG
ensembl:lncRNA